AAGCGAACACGAUGACGAGAAUAUCCUGCAAGCUGUUCAUCUGCACCAAUCCCAGUAAGAACUACCUAUAGAAGUUUGAAUAAAUUGAAUUAAGUAAUCCCAGUGGAUGUGAGAAGGGGACAGGUAGCAAAAGUAUACAAAGGACCAUGCUGCUGGGAAAUCAUUUACUGAAAAUUGGGGAGCUGAACACCUAAAUGAAGUGUGGAGGUGGCAUGGUGGAUAUGCAGUUAUUUUGAGAAGAAGAAAAUGAAGCACUUGUAUGACUGCAUACGAAUCCCUACAAGUUGGCCAGCAGACUGUCAUUAAUGGUGGGGAAGGGGGUGUGGUAAUAGCCCCGAGUGCACAGAUUACCACCGCAGUAAAACAAAUGAUUUGGAUUAGGUAACAUCUAAGACAGCUGCCAACUCUAAAGAAUUUGAUGAUUACAGUAGCAAACUGCUGUACUGGAAAGAACAUUAGACUUAGUAAUCAGAAAAAAUCCAGCUUCUGUUCUGGCUUUGCCACUUGAUAAUUGUGUAUCCACAGGCAAGUCACAACUUCUAUGAUCAUCUAAUUUGCUGCACGUGAAAUGGGAAUACUAAUAUUUAUAAUACUCACAAGGUUAUGAGACAAAUAUGAGACUUUUUUUUUUUAGGCAAUUGGGG